rnacentral:rRNA from 1 species
UAGUCCACGCCCUAAACGAUGUGUGCUAGGCGUCGGGGGGCUUGCCCUUCGGUGCCGGAGCUAACGUGUUAAGCACACCGCCUGGGGAGUACGGUCGCAAGAUUAAAACUCAAAGGAAUUGACGGGGGCCCGCACAAGCGGUGGAGCAUGUGGUUUAAUUCGACGCAACGCGCAGAACCUUACCAGCCCUUGACAUGGUGGUUACGAUUUCCGGAGACGGAUCUCUCAGUUCGGCUGGACCAUCACAGGUGCUGCAUGGCUGUCGUCAGCUCGUGCUGUGAGGUGUCGGGUUAAGUCCCAUAACGAGCGCAACCCCUAUUUCUAGUUGCCAGCACAUAAUGGUGGGGACUCUAGAGAAACUGCCCGCGCAAGCGGGAGAGGAAGGUGGGGGACGACGGUCAAGUCAUCACGGGCCCUUACGUCCAGGGGCUACACACGUGCUACAAUGGUAGAGACAGAGGGGCAGCCACUUGGGUGACAAGGGAGCUAAUCCUAAAAACUCUAAUCUCAGUUCGGGA